rnacentral:rRNA from 10 species
UUUUAAAAGAAGAUUUCUUCGGAUUGACUCUUUUAUUAUCUUAGCGGCGGACGGGUGAGUAACGCGUGAGAAACCUGCCUUUCACAAAGGGAUAGCCUCGGGAAACUGGGAUUAAUACCUUAUGAUACUUUUAGAUAGCAUUAUUUAAAAGUCAAAGCGUAAAGCGGUGAAAGAUGGUCUCGCGUCCCAUUAGCUAGUUGGUGAGAUAAAAGCUCACCAAGGCAACGAUGGGUAACCGGCCUGAGAGGGUGAACGGUCACACUGGAACUGAGACACGGUCCAGACUCCUACGGGAGGCAGCAGUGGGGAAUAUUGCACAAUGGAGGAAACUCUGAUGCAGCGACGCCGCGUGAACGAUGAAGGCUUUCGAGUCGUAAAGUUCUGUCCUAGGGGACGAUAAUGACGGUACCCUAGGAGGAAGCCCCGGCUAAUUACGUGCCAGCAGCCGCGGUAAUACGUAAGGGGCGAGCGUUGUCCGGAAUUAUUGGGCGUAAAGGGUUCGCAGGCGGCCUUUUAAGUCAGAUGUGAAAUCUCACGGCUUAACCGUGGUAAGCAUUUGAAACUGAAAGGCUUGAGUUAAGGAGAGGAAAGUGGAAUUCCUAGUGUAGCGGUGAAAUGCGUAGAUAUUAGGAAGAAUACCAGUGGCGAAGGCGACUUUCUGGACUUAUACUGACGCUGAGGAACGAAAGCAUGGGGAGCAAACAGGAUUAGAUACCCUGGUAGUCCAUGCCGUAAACGAUGAGUGCUAGGUGUUGGGGGUCAAACCUCGGUGCCGCAGCUAACGCAUUAAGCACUCCGCCUGGGGAGUACGUACGCAAGUAUGAAACUCAAAGGAAUUG